CGGACGGGUGAGUAAUGUCUGGGAAACUGCCUGAUGGAGGGGGAUAACUACUGGAAACGGUAGCUAAUACCGCAUAACGUCGCAAGACAAAGAGGGGGACCUUCGGGCCUCUUGCCAUCGGAUGUGCCCAGAUGGGAUUAGCUAGUAGGUGGGGUAAAGGCUCACCUAGGCGACGAUCCCUAGCUGGUCUGAGAGGAUGACCAGCCACACUGGAACUGAGACACGGUCCAG
rnacentral:rRNA from 1 species